rnacentral:rRNA from 1 species
UACGGAGGGGGCAAGCGUUAUUCGGAUUUAUUGGGCGUAAAGCGCGCGUAGGCGGUUACUUAAGUCGGAUGUGAAAGCCCUCGGCUUAACUGAGGAAGUGCACCCGAAACUGAGUAGCUGGAGUACGAAAGAGGGUCGCGGAAUUCCCGGUGUAGAGGUGAAAUUCGUAGAUAUCGGGAGGAACACCGGUGGCGAAGGCGGCGACCUGGGUCGAGACUGACGCUGAGGCGCGAAAGCGUGGGGAGCAAACAGG